UUAAUCCUGAUGUGUUUGUCUGAGAAACGUUUUGACCGAACAUUUUUAUACUUGGGAGCCCGAUCGUUUCUGUGUUGCGUGCAAGCCUUUACCGUACUUAGAGAGGAAGCAUAAGAGGUAUAGAACAAGGCACCCACCUGCCGAGAGCGGGAUCAAAACAAAAAAGCCAGACGGCACAAUCGGGAUUAAA
rnacentral:other from 2 species